rnacentral:rRNA from 1 species
AUACGGAGGGUGCAAGCGUUAUUCGGAAUCACUGGGCGUAAAGGACGCGUAGGCGGGUUGCCAAGUCUGAUGUGAAAUCCUAUGGCUCAACCAUAGAACUGCAUUGGAAACUGGUAACCUAGAGUAUGGGAGGGGGAGAUGGAAUUAGUGGUGUAGGGGUAAAAUCCGUAGAUAUCACUAGGAAUACCGAAAGCGAAGGCGAUCUCCUGGAACAUUACUGACGCUAAGGCGUGAAAGCGUGGGGAGCAAACGGGAUUAGAAACCCCGGUAGUCC